AUUGAACGCUGGCGGCAGGCUUAACACAUGCAAGUCGAGCGGGGUGAUGGUGCUUGCACUAUCACUUAGCGGCGGACGGGUGAGUAAUGCUUAGGAAUCUGCCUAUUAGUGGGGGACAACAUCCCGAAAGGGAUGCUAAUACCGCAUACGUCCUACGGGAGAAAGAAGGGGAUCACUUGUGACCUUGCGCUAAUAGAUGAGCCUAAGUCGGAUUAGCUAGUUGGUGGGGUAAAGGCCUACCAAGGCGACGGUCUGUAGCGGGUCUGAGAGGAUGAUCCGCCACACUGGGACUGAGACACGGCCCAGACUCCUACGGGAGGCAGCAGUGGGGAAUAUUGGACAAUGGGGGGAACCCUGAUCCAGCCAUGCCGCGUGUGUGAAGUAGGCCUUAUGGUUGUAAAGCACUUUAAGCGAGGAGGAGGCUCUUUUGGUUAAUACCCAAGAUGAGUGGACGUUACUCGCAGAAUAAGCACCGGCUAACUCUGUGCCAGCCGCCGCGGUAA
rnacentral:rRNA from 1 species